CCUACGGGUGGCAGCAGUAGGGAAUAUUGCUCAAUGGGGGAAACCCUGAAGCAGCAACGCCGCGUGGAGGAUGAAGGUUUUAGGAUUGUAAACUCCUUUUGUUAGAGAAGAUGGUGACGGUAUCUAACGAAUAAGCACCGGCUAACUCCGUGCCAGCAGCCGCGGUAAUACGGCGGGUGCAAGCGUUACUCGGAAUCACUGGGCGUAAAGAGUGCGUAGGCGGGGGAAUAAGUCAGGUGUGAAAGCCUGGAGCUUAACUAGAGAACUGCAUGUGAUACUGUGACUCUGGAGUGUGGGAGAGGUAGGUGGAAUUCUUGGUGUAGCGGUAAAAUGCGUAGAGAUGAAGAGGAAUAAUCAUUGCGAAGGCGGCCUGGUGGAACAUUACUGACGCUGAUGUGCGAAAGCGUGGGGAGCAAACAGGAUUAGAUACCCUAGUAGUC
rnacentral:rRNA from 1 species